rnacentral:misc_RNA from 1 species
AAGUCGUAACAAGGUUUCCGUAGGUGAACCUGCGGAAGGAUCAUUUUUGAGCGAGCCUUCAUGGCGAGCAUUUAAUAUCCAUAACACUGUGAACUGUUUGAUUCCCUUUUUUGGGAUCAUAUAUUUUUACAAACUCUUGUGUAAUGAACGUAAAAUACUAUAAUCAAUAAAACUUUCAACAACGGAUCUCUUGGCUCUC